rnacentral:rRNA from 1 species
GAUGAACGCUGGCGGCGUGCCUAACACAUGCAAGUCGAGCGGCAGCGAGGGGUGCUUGCACCCUGUCGGCGAGGGGCGGACGGCUGAGUAACGCGUGUGAACGGGCCCCAAAGUGAGGAUUAACUGCGCGAAAGGGGAGCUAAUACCGCAUAUUAUCUUCGGAUCAUAGGGUUUAUUCGCUUUGGGAGCGGCUCGCGUCGGGUUAGGUAGUUGGUGAGGUAGUGGCUGACCAAGCGGACGAUCCGUAGCUGGUCUGAGAGGAUGACAAGCCAGACUGGAACUGAGACACGGUCCAGACUCCUACGGGAGGGUGCAGUGAGGAAUCUUCCACAAUGGGCGAAAGCCUGAUGGAGCAACGCCGCGUGCAGGACGCAGGCCUUUGGGUUGUAAACUGCUUUUAUAAGUGAGGAAUAUGACGGUAACUUAUGAAUAAGGAGCGGCUAACUACGUG